rnacentral:snoRNA from 1 species
UUGCACAGAGAACACCCAAGGAUGUCAAAAUGACACUCCCUGGUCUCCUAUGUCUGUGCUACAUUGAUUCUGAUCUUUUCCUCUGCAUUAGGAGAAUUUCAGUCUCUCCUACAUGUAUUCAGUUGAUCAGAACAAAC